GUAGAACUAAAACUGAGCUAAGAUUUUACUAGUCUUCCCAACCUUUUAUGUGGCUUGGGUGUGGGCCAGAGACUGGUUAUUUCUGAGUCUGGCUAAGGUUAUAAUUACUCCUAUUUGGGAAAAGCUGCUAUCUCGCAAAAAGCCAAAAUUGAAAACAUGGAAAAAAGAAAGAAAAGAAAAAGAAGAUGAAAAGAAAAGAAAAGCGACAUGAAACCAAGUUGUGUAUAGUAGUGAAUAGAAGUAGUAUAGUCAAGUAAGC
rnacentral:lncRNA from 1 species